rnacentral:rRNA from 1 species
GAUUUAUUUAGUAAUAUUAUGUUAACGUGGUAUAGUUAUAUAUUUAUUAUUGAAUGGUAAUGAAAUGUUUAUCGAUUCCUAGAAUAGCUAGUUUAUUAGUGAAGAAUAUUUAAGUAUUAUAAUAUUUGUAUAAUAAAUUAUGUUUAAAUAUUAGUUUAUUGUAUGAGGGAUAAGCUUCAUAUAAAAAUAUAGAAUAUUUAAAAUUUUGAUUAAUUAUUUAAGUAGGGUUAAAGUUUUGUCUUUCUUAAUGAUUCAAUUGACAUUGAUAAUAAUAAAUGUUCAGGUGUGUGUAGCUAAUAAAUAAUCAUUAAUUUUGAUUGGUUAGAUAUAAUGUUAAUAUGAGUAUUGGUUUAUAAGUUAUUUAGUUCAUUGAGAUUGUAAAUGGGGAUAAAUAAAUAUUUAGUUUAUAAAAUUAAGUAAAGUUAAGGAAUUCGGCAAAUAUUAAUCUCGCCUGUUUAUCAAAAACAUCUCUCUUUGUUAGUUUAUAUAGAUAAAGAG